rnacentral:rRNA from 1 species
CAGGAUGAACGCUAGCGACAGGCCUAACACAUGCAAGUCAGGGGCAGCACAAGGAGCAAUCUGAGGUGGCGACCGGCGCACGGGUGAGUAACACGUAUGCAACCUGCCUGUAAGCGGGGAAUAACCCGUUGAAAGACGGACUAAUACCGCAUAAUACUAAAUUACUGCAUGGUAAUUUAUUUAAACAUUUAUGGCUUACAGAUGGGCAUGCGCAUGAUUAGCUAGUUGGAGAGGUAACGGCUCCCCAAGGCAACGAUCAUUAGGGGUUCUGAGAGGAAGGUCCCCACACUGGUACUGAGACACGGACCAGACUCCUACGGGAGGCAGCAGUGAGGAAUAUUGGUCAAUGGACGAGAGUCUGAACCAGCCAAGUCGCGUGCAGGAAGAAUGUCCUAAUGGAUUGUAAACUGCUUUUGCAGGGGAAUAAAGUGCAUCACGUGUGAUGUUUUGUAUGUACUCUGCGAAUAAGGAUCGGCUAACUCCGUGCCAGCCGCAGC